UGUGGCUUCUGAGGCUAGGACUGCAUCGCAUUCUUCAGGUAUUUUGAAAGAGUUGAUUAGCCAACAUGUGGAUCUAAAUAGUUCGUUGGUUAAUGAAAACAACCUUUUGAAGAUGAAGGAAAAGAUAUUAUAAAAUCAAGUAUAGUGAGAUCAAUAUGUGCUAGUGAGGAGGGUCUUAACUCCUUGUAAAGGACUUCCCAGUGAGCAUCUUUUGGAUGUUAUAUCUGCUUUUCUCUUCAAGCUAGUUUUGGUUAUAGAAAAACUUCCUACAUCUACAUGAAAAGUAUUCUUCUUAGAUUUGGCUGAGUUAAUGACCGCUGCUACUGGGGACAAAUCUACAUUAUGGUAUGGAACUGCAGUUCUGCUGGAGCUGAGUUAGUUACAAGGUAUGAUACAAUAAACGUUUGGUGGCCUGAGCUGAGAAAUUGGUUACACUGUUACAUCUAUUGCAGAGCAGCUGCAAUAACAAGAUUUUUAUUUUAAAGAAGUCGCCACCACAGAAACAGAUAUGAACCAGGCAGGUUUAUCCACCAACAGAUGAAUUAUGUCCUCAACACAUUAUUUUCAUCACACAUGGUGAUUACAUUCCUUGCAGCUGUUAUACUGGACAACACAGUACAUGUAAGUCGUCAAGAACGUGGUGUGUAUGUGUGGU